GCCAUAGCUCAGUCGACAGAGCACAAAACUAUUAAUUUCAGGGCUGUGGGUUCAAGCCCCACGUUGGACG